AUUCUGCAUUACCAGCCCAAAUGGCAAUGACUCUUGGGACAUUCAUAGGGAAUGAUCAAGAACUCUGAGGUCUUCUACAAGAUGGGAUGACAUCCUUUUAGAAAGCAGAAUUUUUCUCUAUUUUUGUUUGUUUUCUUAGUUCUUGGUUAUGGGAAAAAAAAUAAAUGGUUUCCUAGCUUUACAUGCUUGGCUCUUUACCUUCACAUAAGAAUCUAGAAAUUGGUGCUGCCAAUCUUUCAAAAAAUUUUUCUGGAAAAGGCAAAGUGGAUCUGAUAUAGAAGGCAAGGCCUUAUUGGUUCUUAAUAAUAAUAAUCCCAUAUCAAUCAUACAUUUUUCCUUCUUCUCUAACAGCUAAACAUCCUCUACCAAGUUGUUGCUGUUGUUUCUGGUGCUUUGAAUGAUG
rnacentral:misc_RNA from 1 species